rnacentral:sRNA from 1 species
AUCUGGCUGUGAUAUCUGUCAUCCUACUGAACACCAGGGUGGAUUCAGCUGAUCUGGCUGGCUCCGUAUGUGUCACUCU